UAGUCCACGCCCUAAACUAUGUUCACUCGAUGUUUGUGAUAUACAAUAAGCAUCUAAGGGAAACCGUUAAGUGAACCACCUGGGGAGUACGUUCGCAAGAAUGAAACUCAAAGGAAUUGACGGGGUCCGCACAAGCGGUGGAGUAUGUGGUUUAAUUCGAUGAUACGCGAGGAACCUUACCUAGGCUCUAAUGCGACUGCUAUCCGGUGAAAGCUGGAGUUCCUUCGGGACAGGAAGCAAGGUGCUGCAUGGUUGUCGUCAGCUCGUGCCGUGAGGUGUCAGGUUAAGUCCUAUAACGAGCGCAACCCCUACCGUUAGUUUCCAGCAAGUAAUGUUGGGGACUCUAAAGAGACUGCCGGCGUAAGCCGCGAGGAAGGUGGGGAUGGACGUCAAAUCAUCAUGGGCCUUUAUGCCUAGGGGCUACACACGUGCUACAAUGGCAGGGUACAGAGGGGUUNCGAACUCGCGAGGGGUAA
rnacentral:rRNA from 1 species